rnacentral:rRNA from 1 species
UACGGAGGGUGCGAGCGUUAAUCGGAAUUACUGGGCGUAAAGGGUGCGUAGGUUGUUUAGUAAGUUAUGUGUGAAAUCCCCGGGCUUAACCUGGGAACUGCGCUUGUAACUGGCAAGCUGGAGUGUGGCAGAGGGGGGUGGAAUUCCACGUGUAGCAGUGAAAUGCGCAGAUAUCAGGAGGAACACCGGUGGCGAAGGCGGGUCUCUGGGCCGAUACUGACGCUGAGGAGCGAAAGCGUGGGGAGCGAACAGG